rnacentral:piRNA from 1 species
UGACCAACGUUUGCCAUUUCCAC